ACAAAAGGCAGCUUCAUGCCAUUGGGA
rnacentral:piRNA from 1 species